GAUGAACGCUGGCGGCGUGCCUAAUACAUGCAAGUCGAGCGAACGGACGAGAAGCUUGCUUCUCUGAUGUUAGCGGCGGACGGGUGAGUAACACGUGGAUAACCUACCUAUAAGACUGGGAUAACUUCGGGAAACCGGAGCUAAUACCGGAUAAUAUUUUGAACCGCAUGGUUCAAAAGUGAAAGACGGUCUUGCUGUCACUUAUAGAUGGAUCCGCGCUGCAUUAGCUAGUUGGUAAGGUAACGGCUUACCAAGGCAACGAUGCAUAGCCGACCUGAGAGGGUGAUCGGCCACACUGGAACUGAGACACGGUCCAGACUCCUACGGGAGGCAGCAGUGGGGAAUCUUCCGCAAUGGGCGAAAGCCUGACGGAGCAACGCCGCGUGAGUGAUGAAGGUCUUCGGAUCGUAAAACUCUGUUAUUAGGGAAGAAAAUAUGUGUAAGUAACUGUGCACAUCUUGACGGUACCUAAUCAGAAAGCCACGGCUAACUACGUG
rnacentral:rRNA from 1 species